UGGGAUGUAGCUCAGUGGUAGAGUGCUUGUUGAGCAUGCAUGAAACCCUAAGUUUGAUCCUCAGCACUUAAA
rnacentral:tRNA from 1 species